UUCGCUAAGUUCUUUGAAUUUUCUUUUGUUGAAGCUUGUAUGUUGAAGCUUUCUGAGUGGAGCAUGUAGGUUGGGGUAGUGUUCCCUUAAUUUCCCGAGUGAGGAAAACUUCUUGGUUGGAGACUUGGAAAAUCCAAGUCACUGAGUGGGAUCGGCUAUAUGAAUCUUAGAACGCCAUUGUGCUCGAUCCUGUGUCAUGUCCUUCGUUAGAUCCAAGUACUCUAAGUCUUUUCUUAGAGUCUCUUCCAAAGUUUUCCUAGGUCUUCCUCUACCCCUUCGGCCCUGAACCUCUGUCCCAUAGUCGCAUCUUCUAAUCGGAGCGUCAGUAGGCCUUCUUUGCACAUGUCCAAACCACCGUAACCGAUUUUCUCUCAUCUUUCCUUCAAUUUCGGCUACUCCUACUUUACCCCGGAUAUCCUCAUUCCUAAUCUUAUCCUUUCUCGUGUGCCCACACAUCCAACGAAGCAUCCUCAUCUCCGCUACACCCAUUUUGUGUACGUGUUGAUGUUUCACCGCCCAACAUUCUGUGCCAUACAGCAUCGCCGGCCUUAUUGCCGUCCUAUAAAAUUUUCCCUUGAGCUUCAGUGGCAUACGGCGGUCACACAACACGCCGGAUGCACUCUUCCACUUCAUCCAUCCAGCUUGUAUUCUAUGGUUGAGAUCUCCAUCUAAUUCUCCGUUCUUUUGCAAGAUAGAUCCUAGGUAACGAAAACGGUCGCUCUUUGGUAUUUCUUGAUCUCCGAUCCUCACCCCUAACUCGUUUUGGCCUCCAUUUGCACUGAACUUGCACUCCAUAUAUUCUGUCUUUGAUCGGCUUAGGCGAAGACCUUUAGAUUCCAACACUUCUCUCCAAAGGUUAAGCUUUGCAUUUACCCCUUCCUGAGUUUCAUCUAUCAACACUAUAUCGUCUGCGAAAAGCAUACACCAAGGAAUAUCAUCUUGAAUAUGUCCUGUUAACUCAUCCAUUACCAACGCAAAAAGGUAAGGACUUAAGGAUGAGCCUUGAUGUAAUCCUACAGUUAUGGGAAAGCUUUCGGUUUGUCCUUCAUGAGUUCUUACGGCAGUCUUUGCUCCUUCAUACAUAUCCUUUAUAGCUUGGAUAUAUGCUACUCGUACUCCUUUCUUCUCUAAAAUCCUCCAAAGAAUGUCUCUUGGGACCCUAUCAUACGCUUUUUCCAAAUCUAUAAAGACCAUGUGUAAAUCCUUUUUCCCAUCUCUAUAUCUUUCCAUCAAUCUUCGUAAGAGAUAGAUUGCCUCCAUGGUUGAGCGCCCUGGCAUGAACCCGAAUUGGUUGUCCGAAACCCGUGUCUCUUGCCUCAAUCUAUGCUCAAUGACUCUCUCCCAGAGCUUCAUUGUAUGACUCAUUAGCUUAAUACCCCUAUAGUUCAUGCAAUUUUGUACGUCGCCCUUAUUCUUGUAGAUAGGCACCAAAGUGCUCGUUCGCCACUCAUUUGGCAUCUUCUUCGUUUUCAAAAUCCUAUUGAAAAGGUCAGUGAGCCAUGUUAUACCUGUCUCUCCCAAAACUUUCCACACUUCGAUUGGUAUAUCGUCUGGGCCUAUUGCUUUUCUAUGCUUCAUCUUCUUCAAAGCUACAACCACUUCUUCCUUCCGGAUUCGACGAUAAAAGAGUAGUUUCUACACUCUUCUGAGUUACUCAACUCCCCUAAAGAAGCACUCCUUUCAUGUCCUUCAUUGAAAAGAUUAUGAAAAUAACCUCUCCAUCUGUCUUUAACCGCGUUCUCUGUAGCAAGAACCUUUCCAUCCUCAUCCUUGAUGCACCUCACUUGGUUUAGGUCCCUUGUCUUCUUUUCCCUUGCUCUAGCUAGUUUAUAGAUAUCCAACUCUCCUUCUUUGGUAUCUAGUCGUUUAUACAUAUCGUCGUAAGCCGCUAACUUAGCUUCUCUGACAGCUUUCUUCGCCUCUUGCUUCGCUUUUCUAUACCUUUCACCAUUUUCAUCGGUCCUCUCCUUGUAUAAGGCUUUACAACAUUCCUUCUUAGCCUUCACCUUUGUUUGUACCUCCUCAUUCCACCACCAAGAUUCCUUUUGGUGUGGGGCAAAGCCCUUGGACUCUCCUAAUACCUCUUUUGCUACUUUUCGGAUACAACUAGCCAUGGAAUCCCACAUUUGGCUAGCUUCCCCCUCUCUAUAUCCCACACACAUUGGGUGAUUACCUUCUCUUUGAAAAUGGCUUGUUUUUCUUCUUUUAGAUUCCACCAUCUAGUUCUUGGGCACUUCCAAGUCUUGUUCUUUUGUCUUACUCUUUUGAUAUGUACAUCCAUCACCAACAAGCGAUGUUGAUUAGCCACGCUCUCUCCUGGUAUAACUUUGCAAUCCUUACAAGUUAUACGAUCCCCUUUCCUCAUUAGAAGAAAAUCUAUUUGUGUUUUUGACGACCCACUCUUGUAGGUGAUCACAUGUUCUUCUCUCUUCUUAAAGAAGGUGUUGGCUAAGAAGAGAUCAUAUGCCAUUGCAAAAUCCAAGAUAGCUUCCCCAUCCUCGUUUCUCUCCCCAAAACCAUGGCCACCAUGAAAACCUCCAUAGUUGCCUGUCUCCCUGCCCACGUGUCCAUUUAAAUCUCCUCCUAUAAAUAACUUCUCCGUCUGAGCAAUUCCUUGCACCAAGUCUCCAAGAUCUUCCCAAAAUUUCUCCUUCGAACUCGUAUCCAACCCUACUUGAGGUGCGUACGCACUAAUCACAUUGAUAAGUUCUUGUCCUAUUACAAUCUUGAUUGCCAUGAUUCUAUCUCCUACCCUCUUGACAUCUACAACAUCUUGUACCAAGGUCUUGUCCACGAUGAUGCCAACACCGUUUCUCGUUCUAUUUGUGCCCGAAUACCAAAGUUUAAACCCUGAGUUUUCUAGAUCCUUUGCCUUACUACCAACCCACUUAGUUUCUUGUAGGCACAUAAUAUUUAUCCUUCUCCUCACCAUAACUUCCACUACUUCCAUAGAUUUUCCCGUUAAGGUUCCUAUAUUCCACGUUCCUAAACGCAUUUUGCUCUCUUGAACUCUACCCUUCUGUCCUAGCUUCUUCACCCUCCCCCGUCUAAUAGGAUCAAAGUACUUCUUUUGUGUGUCCCGGGUAAAGUUGAUAGGAGCAUAUGCUCCCAAACAACUUUGAGUGGAGUCGUUCGAAAAGAAGUUUCUAUGGCCCCCUUGCUCAUUUAACACUGCAUCCGGGUGCCGAUGGAGAUACAGCGACCCUUGCUCACUUAUCACUGUGCUCGGGCCACACAGCGCGCCACUUACGGGUGACGCCCUAGCUUUAGCGCGAUUUUGUUCUGGAUUCAUUUUCAUAAGGAUUCGACGUGAUCAUGGAGUGUCGGCUGUCGACUACCUGACGCCCUCCCCCUCCUCCUUUAUCCAGGCUUGGAAAGAAGUGAAGAAGCAGUACAACGAUGGAGAAAAUUUUUGGAAGAAGCUUGCUUAUGUUGGUAACCCAACAGCCACAGAAAGAAUUCUAUUUUAGAUUUGCAGAUUAUUUUGGAUUUUUUUAACUUUUAAAUGUUAAAUAAAAAGCUAACAGAGUUUGAGAUUAGGUUAAGUUAGAUGACAUGUGUCAAAAUAUUAGCAAUAAGACAUACACACAAAAGGGGACAGCAGACUUGAAACCUUCAUACAGGGAUACAAAGUAUUCCCAUCUAUAUCUCAAAUAAAAGAUGACAUAAAUCAAUAUGAUUUGGUUUGUUUACAGAUGGCGGAUUGGAUUGGGACAAGGUCUUUUGUUCAACAUUUUAUGUAUCGAGACUAGAAAUUGAGAGUUUUUAUCAUUUUUUUUUCAGACAUGUAAAUGGCGUCCAUUGAAAAUUGGUGAUUGUGGGGGCAAGUCAAACUUUAAGUGUGACUUGAUCACUCUGAAUCUCAAAAUUUAAAGUACCGAAACCUAUUUUCAUGUCCAUGCUAUUGAAUUAUCAGAGAGACGAGUCGAUGGCCCAACUCCAACAACAUUGAUAUUGUUCCCAACUUGGUAAUUACCACCUGCACAAUCCGUCAGGUGUAGAGUUUUAUCACAAAAGGUCUCGAUUUUAGUUGAAAUGGGAUUAGGAUAUUUAAACUCUUCUUUUCUCAUUGAUACGGUGGAUGUGAGGCAUUUUAACACGCAUUCUCACGUGGGACCCAAUUAGUGGGUCACACAUGGAAGAUCCACACAUCGACAACCACGUGAAGCGAAGGAGACUCACCCAACACAGGGGGCCAAGGGACCCACCAUCAUCGCAUAGGGUCAAGGGGACCCAUCCAUCACGUGGCAGUACAGUACGGGCCAUCUUCUUGGCUCUGAUACCAUGUUGAAUUAUUAGAGAGAUGGGCCGAGGACCCAACUCCAACAACAUCGAUAUUGUCCCCAACUUGGUAAUUACUACCUGCACAAUCCGUCAGGUGUGAGAUUUUAUCACAAAAAAAACAUCGGUUUUAGUUGGAGUGAGGUUAUGGUAUUUAAACUCUUAUUUUCUCAUUGAUAUGAUCGAUGUGAGACAUUUCAACACAUGAACUUUUAUGCUGAUGGUUACUUUGUAUCUAAGUAGGGAAUGUUUAUUUGAUUUGUCAUUUUACCUAUUGGUUAAACUUUGAUCACUUAUCUUGGACAGAUAAAUCUGAGUUAUUUACAAUUGCACCAUGGAGGUCACUUUAUAGAAGCCUGUAAUGGGACAAUGACUUGUGUUGGGAAAAUUUUUAGUUGUGACUGGAACACAGAUGGUGCAUCACGUGUUUUUAUGUAAAUGGUGAAAAUUUUUAAUUUUUAAAUUAUUAACUUUUUAACAGACAUAUUCAACCAUUUACAUGAAUAUAUAUGAUAUAUCGUCUUGUGUGAUGGUCACACUAAAAAAUCUCUCAUUGUGUUGGUGGUCAUGUUGCUUGGUUUGACAAUAUGAACUGUGAUUUAAUGUCCAGGUGGGAUAUUGAGGAUUGUGCGAAGAAAGUAGGGUCACUACUAGAAAAAGAGCUACAGGACACCGUUCUUUAUAUUCUAUUCCCAAAUCGUGCAUAUUUGAAGAAAGUUGUCACCGUGAAAAAACAUUGGUGCAUUUUACAUUUUUUUACACUGAAAAACGGUGCCCAACAGAUAUUUGACAAAUUUUUUUUGGAAAUUAUUAACUUUUACUGGUGUCUAUAUGGAUUAUGGAGCGUGCCCUGACAACUUUUAUAGUCGAGUAAAUUGUAGUAAUGAUCUAUUAACUUUAAUCAAAUUGAAGCAAUGAUCAUUCAACUAAAAAUCCAUUACUAUUGGUCUUUCAACUUAUCAAAAUGUGUAGCUGUAGUCAUUUUCAUCAAUUUUAUCAAAAUAAAUUAUGUUGAAAUAACCAUUUAUAUAAUUAUGGUCCCUCAACUCAUCCAAAUGUGUAAUUAUGAUCAUUUUCGUCAACUAUGUCAAAAUUUUUGGCAAAACGAGUUAUGUUGAAAUGAUCAUUGCUACAAUUGGGUUAGAGUUAAGGGACUAUUUCUUCAGUUGAAUUAAAGUUGAGGGACCAAUAGUAAUGAAUUUUUAGUAAAUGAACUAUAAUUGCAUAUUUUGAUGAAUUUUUAUAAUCAAACCGAUUUGAUAUUGUAUAGAAAAUUUGAAUACAAAAGAUGCUGUAGAUGUAAUUAUUGAUUCCAUACUGAUGAAACCAGGUCAUUGUAAAACGCUCUCUCUAAAUCCAAUCCAACCAUGUGGCUGUGAGUUUCUCAAUUUUUUUAUUAUUAUCAAAGUAUGGACUGGAGCACAAAAGUAAAGUAAUAAACAAUAUUUCACCUCCACUCCUUUUCAUAUCAGUUUCCGGAUUCCUCUUCUCCUAAAAGCUUCUACAGUUUUUCUCCCAACACCUCAAGCGGUUGCAUGGCGUCCUCUAGAUCAGCAGCCUCUCAUCCGCAUGUCGUCAACAAUAUGCAUGUAGUCCUCUGUGUUUUUGUCGCCCUCUGAGUUUUAAAGUUGUUGGGAUGUGAAAGGCUGAGUCCACGAGAGAUUUGUUUACUGGGUUCGUAAGUUGUUUGAUGGGAGUUUGAUUGACUCUUAAACCUGGUAAAAAGUUUCCUUGCUUCUCUCUGUCUCUUCUCUUGCUUUAUAUUUUUUUAUUUUUUUAUUUUUUUUAUUUCUAAUUUUUAUUUUUGGUUGAAGUUUAAAACUUAGGCAAAAGACUGUUUACUACCCUCAUAUUUCGUGGUUUUCAACAUUUAGUAUAUCAAGUUUUUUUCGUCCCAGAGUCAUACCUAAAGUGUAAAUUUUGGGACAGUCUCAUACAUCUGUUAGUCAAACUGUUAAGUUUUCCGUUAACUGAUGACGUGGCGCCCAUGUGGACAAUGACUGGAUGCCACGUGUCAAUAAGGGUCCCACGUGGAUUUAAAAAUUACAAAAAAUUACAAAAUUGCAAAAAAAAAUAAAUAAAAAAAAAGCUGUUGUUGUCUACGCCCACCAAACCCUCUAUACUCGACCCAUCUCCCUCUCCUCCACCCUUUGCAAAAACCCUAACUCCCAAAAUCUUUUGAGUUUUCAAAAAAAUUGAGCAAACCGAGCAUGAAAUCCCUAAUCCCCAAAAUCUUUCCGACCCGUUUGAAUUUGACUUCAAUUUCAUCAAACACAUAAUGAAAACACAAAAAGACUUCGAUUUCGUCAUACCAAAAAACUGAUCAGUCAGGACUCGGACAUUCAUUUUCGUUUUGUUCCCCCCAAAUUUUCUCAACAACCAAACAGUCCAUUUCAAAUUAUAAACAACAAAAGCAGCAGAAUCACAAAGAUCAAUACACAAAAUUUGAAAUUUCUUAGCUAAUCCGUAACUCUGUUUGCGGGAAACAAAGCAGCUCUAAAUCACUCGCCUUUGAGUUCGAAAUGCAUACCUCGAUUUCUUAGAGAUAACGACGCUUUCUCAAACGUCGUCUAUGAGAAGGCCAUCCCGGCAAUGAUCAACGAAAAUCGGGAAAUGCAGUGAAAUUGGAAGCUGAAAGGACACCGUGACCUAGUUGGUGGCCAGACGACGGCAGAUAUGAUGAAAUUGCGGCAGAGAAAAUGGCUUUUAGGGUUUUAGAGAGGCAGUGAGUGAGGUGAAGAAUCUGGAAUUUUAGAGAGAGAGAGAGAGGAGAAGGGGGUCUCUACAGCUUGAAAAUGGCCUCAGCAAAGGCGUAGCGUUGGUGAAUCGCCUCGUCGAGGAAGCCACAGCGCUCCCGGCAUAAGGCGACGGCCAGAAGAUCGUCGAGCUUGGAGCUCGUCCAGCCCAUUGGGUUGGGUAUGGAGGGACUAUGAGAGGGAUGGGUCGGGUUGGGAGGUGGUGGUGAGGGAAGAACGAGUGCGAGUGGGGAGAGGGACGGAGGGGGGAGACCAAGUCGCUCGGGGUGGGGAAGACAAAAGGGAUCUGGAGAAGGAUGGAUAUGCAGAUGUGCAUAAGGAUUUAGGGAUUUGGGUAGUGAGAGCGGAGAGUGAGAGCGAAUGUGCAGAGGUACGUGUCACAGCAAAUCGCUCGGGGUGGGGAAGACAAAGGGGAUCUGGAGAAGGAUGGAUGUACAGAGGUGCAGAGGGAUAUGGGGAUUUGGGGAAUGAGAGAGAGCGGAGAGUGAGGGUGAGAGCGGAUGUGCAGAGGUGCAUAAGGAGAAGGGAAGCGGAUCGGGGUGGGGAAGACAAAGGGAAUCUGGGGAUUUUUUUUUUAUUUUUUUUAUUUUUAUACUUUUAUUUAAUUAAAAUUUUAAUUGUUUAUUUAUUUAUUUAUUUAUUUUUAAAUUUCCACGUGGAUGACCCGUGGCGCCCAGUCAUUGUCCACAUGAGCGUCACGUCAUCACUUAACGGGAGAUUUAACAGUUUGACUAACGGAUGUAUGAGACUGUCUCAAAAUUUAAACUUUAGGUAUGACUCUGAGACGAAAAAAACUUCAUGUACUAAAUGUUGAAAACCACGAAAUAUGAGAGUAGUAAACAAUCUUUUACCCUUAAAACUUUCUUUUAAAAGACUCAUUUUCUCUAAAAAGUAAUAAUAAAAAGGGAUAUCAAAUGAAAGGCUCUGGUAGUCUUGAAAUACGUGUAUUGUAGUUUCUCUAUGUAUAUAAAACAAGAACAAUUGAUAAUCUGUAUCUUUGGAAACCAACCAUAAUUCUCAGUUCCCCUCCUCUCUCAGAGUGCUCUCUCCCUCUCGUCAUCACGAGUAAGGCUAGAUCUAAUGAUCUGAUUUCAACGACGCCUCUGGCUACCAGAUCUGGUACUGGCAACCAUUUUUGCUUGGAUCUCGCUCUCUCUCCCUCUCGAGCUAAGCAGACGCACCUCCAUGGAAGAAGAUGGAUGCUCGACGUCAAAAUGAUGGAUGUAAGUUGACUGUAGAGAUCUGAUUUCCUGCUGCCUCUCCACCUCGUUUUCAUCAUGAUGUGCCCUAAACCUAAUCUGGUAGGUAUUUAUUUGGGUAUUUUUUUUAUCUCGGUUUCUUUUUCUAAUUCAUUUUCAGAUCGUUGGAAUGUAUGUAUAUCAAGUUCUAUUUAUAUUCUCUCUUUUUAAAUCAUUUUCAGAUAUUCGGGAUUGUUUGAGAAGACCUAUGAGAAUCCCACUUACAAAAUUUUGUGAGCAACAAACUUAAGUGUUGAAACAUUGUUUGUAUUUUCUAUUUUUCGUCAAAGUUAUUAUUUUUUAUUUUCUGUUUUUGUAUGCUUAAUGUUGACUCUUUUGGUGGUAUUGUUAUGAAGGUGAAUCUGGAAAAAUAUGUUCAUUCUAGAAUCGUUACUCGAGUUCUUGGAUGGAUGGGAAGGUUGUGGAACUCUCCUAGGUUUAAAUGAUUAAUUUUCAUCCAAAGCAUGUGGUAUUAAUCGUGGACUUCGUCAAUGGGAGCUCAGCGGGCUCCCUCUUUUUACAUACAUAAAUUGCAAUUUGGACACUGAUGCUAAAAGGCAUAUUUUAUGUGAAAAAAUAUUUAAUCUAUUAAUAAACAAAUAAACCAAAAUAUAAUAAUGUCAUAUAUCUACUAUUCCUUUGCCCACCAAUGUAUAAAUGGUGGUGUUUGUUACAAUAGAGACUUCUGUAGAGGACAUGGACCCUAAUUUAGUGGCUGCAUGAUGGCUGUUUAUGCUUGCCACCGAAUUCAGUGUCCAAUGUUUCCAAUUGGCACCAAUAAGAUAGUGUUCUAUAGCUAUUUUCUAAAAAAAAACUAAUGAAAAAGGCUUGAAAACUUUAAGUUUUAACGAUAAGGAUAAAAUAAAGGGUAAAAUGAAUAGUAUCAGAAUUGACUUUUUAGUGUAAAAAUAUAAUUUUUCGUUAAAGUGAACACUACCAUGAGUUUUUUAUUAAAACUCCUAUUUUUCUAGUAGUGGGUAUACUAAGACUGCUAAGUACCAUUACACAUUGUCAAAUGACAGAACUUACAAGCCCAUUGUUGCUGAUAGUGAUUUUUGGAGUCUAGCUACUGUAUUGCCCCUAAAUAGAGUGGUACUUGUGUACACCGUUGAUGAUGUCCAACUGAUCAAUUCAGCCCCAAACAUUGAAAUUCAAGCUUCAGCAAACUCUUUUGACAUUCCUUACAUGUCAGCCCCAAACAUUGAAAUUCAAGCUUCAACAAACUCUUUUGACAUUCCUCACGUCUGAUCCUUUUGGCAUAUUUGAGGGAUUUUUGGAGCAAGCUUAUGAAGGAGAUCGGGAACAAGACAACCUUGUUGAGGCAGGUAUACAUAACAUGGAAAAUGAAGAGAGAGAUGGCGAUGGCAAUUCGGAAGAUUCAAAUUAGUGAGACUCAGACUAUGAACAAAGUGAUGUCGAUGACAACUUAUUUGACGACAAUUUAGAGAAAACUAAAGGGAAAAAUACCAAUGGAAAAUGCAAUGGAAAUAGGAAAGCAUCACGUAAUACUGAACCCUUUCCUGAUUUAGGAUUUGGAGAUGUUGAAACAAACUACGAAGAUUCUGAUGGCUUUAGAAGUGGUUCUAGUUCAUCAUCUGAAGGUGAACAACCAGUGAAGCGGAAACGUAGGAAGAAAAUGCCCAAAUUCAUUCCUUUUAGAAGUGAUUUGGAUAUGAAGAACUGGAAUGAUAUUUGCCAAUAGAAGGGGGCUCAGACAAGCAGUGACAUAUUAUGGUUGUGUGAAUGGAAGACAAAUAAGAUUCCCAAUAAGAGAAGGUUAUAAAGUUCAGGGUAAGUGUACAAAGGAGGGAUGUCCAUGGGUGAUUUAUGCAAGCAAAACAGAUGGGAGCCCUGCACUUAUAGUGAAGACACUCAAUGACGUCCAUACAUGUCCGAGAGAGCAAAAGCUCAGAGUAUGCACCUCAAAUUGGUUAUCACAUAGGUAUGCUGACUAUUUGCUUGACAAUCCUAAGUGGGAAGUGUCAAAAUUUCAACAAACUGUUCAUAAACAAUACAAUAUGCAUGUAACACCGGCUCAACUUUAUAAAGCACGAUCAUUGGCAGCUGAGAAGAGUGAAGGGGGCUUAUGUGGAGCAAUAUGCAAGGUUAUGGGAUUAUUGUGAGGAGCUCAAGCGAAGAAAUCCUGGCAGUACAAUUUUGGUGAAGACUGAAAUGGAAGGAGGAAGGCCUAGGUUUCAGAGGUUGUAUGUAUGCUUUGCAGCAUUGAAAAAAGGCUUUUUGGAAGGUUGUAGGCCAGUGGUGGGAUUGGAUGGAUGCCACAUUAAAGGUCCACAUCCAGGCCAGUUGCUUGCUGCCAUUGGUAUAGAUGCCAACAAUGGCAUGUAUCCAGUAGCAUAUGCGAUUGUUGAAAUUGAAGAUAGAAGAACUUGGACUUGGUUUCUCGAGCUACUCAUCACUGAUUUGGGUAUUGAAAAUGGGCAUGCUUGGGUCUUUACGUCAGACAAACAAAAGGGGUUAAUAAAAGCUGUGAAGGACCUUAUUCCAACUGCUGAACACAUACAUUGUGUUCGACACUUAUAUAACAAUUUCAAGAAAACACACGUUGGCAUUGCAUUGAAACAAAUUCUUUGGUCAGCAGCUAGAGCAACCACCAUUCCAGGAUUUAAAGCAGAGAUGACUAAGAUGGAAGUUGAAGACGGAUUGGCUAUAAGUUGGUUUGAUGACAAACCAGCAUGUCAUUGAAGCAGAUCUUAUUCUAGGACAUCAUCUAAGUGUGAUAUCUUGUUGAAUAUUCUAUGUGAGUCUUUUAGUAGUGCAAUAUUGAGAGCAAGAGAUAAACCAAUAUUAACUAUGGUGGAAAGGAUUACAACAUAUCUGAUGGUCAGAAUGGCAAGAAUGAGAGAAGCAGCGGAUAAGUGGAAAACUGAGGUUGGCCCUAGAAUAUUUAAAAUGGUUGAAAAAAAUAAAUUAGAAAGUGGUUCAUGUAUUGCUUGGUUGUCAGGUGAUAUGGAGUAUCAAGUGAAGCAUAUGAGUGGAGCACAAUAUGUGGUUGAUUUAGCGAAACACACAUGUACAUGUAGAAGGUGGGAUCUCACUGGAAUUCCUUGUGCUCAUGGAAUUGCUGUAAUCUAUAGAAAGGAGGACGAUCCAUACAAGUAUGUUCAUUCUUGUUACAAGAAAGCAGCAUACUUGAGAGCCUACACUUAUAUCCAUGCCAUGCUUAGUCAAGAAUUUUGGCCACCUACAAAUCACCAACCCGUUGCAUCUCCAAAGUAUCAUAAGCAAGCUGGUAGGCCAAAGAAGGUGAGGGCAAGAGAGCAAGAUGAACCACAACCACCAUCAACCUUAAAAAAAUUGCCUAAAUGCUUCAGCAAGGUCACUUGUGGAAUGUGUGGCAAGAAAGGUCAUAAUCGUACAACAUGCGGGAAGAGGCAACGACAAGCUUCACAGGUAAAAAUAGCUUAAUGGUUUCACUUAUCUGCAUUUUUAGUCACAUAUGGUUGUUAUAAAUUGGGGAAUAUCAUCUCUUAGGCCUAUGGAGAAGCUGGGAGAGGACAAACUUGUGGGACAAAUGAAAUUGGCCAUAACUCACCAACUACUGAAAGUGGGCAAACACAAGCAAUGGUGUGCGUACUGAAAACUUCGGUAUUUUAAGGUUUUGUCUUGUAUUUAUUGACUGAUGUAUGUGUAACUCUUUUAUUGAUCAUUUUGUAGCAUGCCACUGGAGGAAAUACGGGAAGUGAAACUCCACCAAAUCAGGGACAAGAAAAAUCUGCACCUAAUGCAAGUUCUUUUGACCUAUGUCUUUGUCCCUUUCUCGUCAGGUUUUUUUUUACUUUUUUAUUGUUUGUAGGUUUCUAAAAGGGGUAGAGUGAAAAAAAAAUGCAAGAGGUAAGUCAAUGCACAAGUCAAGAAAACCACCUAAAAACCGUAGAAUCUGAAGAAAUCAUUUGAAACUUUAGACUUUUUGUUAAUAUUGUCAAUAUCCUCUUGGACUCGAUGGUACUGAGCACUGUGAUCAUGAUACUCACUAGAUCGAAGUGCAUGUUUAAUAAUGGAAUCACCAAAUGGAAAAGCAAAAUCAUAAGUUGGGUACAAGUUGUACUCGGACACAAUUCGAUGAUGUGGUGUAGAUUGUAGGGGUAAUAAAUAGGAUCUUGAAGAGAUUUUUUUUGGAUACUGCAUAUCCAGAGUUCUCCUCAAUGAAUGAUUAUGAUUUAGGUCACAAUUGACCUCGAAUGCCCAUUUUCUUCUCAAGAAUUUGAAAACGAAUUUGUGAGCUUAAUCAACAUCUAAUUGUGGACUAUCUCACCUAGAUAUAUCUACAAGAUGGUCAUAAUAUUAUUUGCUUGUUAUUACAAGCUCAAUUUCCCAAUUGUAGGCUAUUUCAGACCACUGGGAAUUACUUUUAAGCACACAAUUUUUCAUGGCUUAGCACAAGGUUAAGCAUUCUAUUCAUUGCUAAUUUUUGGUUAGGAGAAUCAUCUUGAUCCACAGGCAUGUAUCAUCAUGAUCAUUUCGGUUGACGUUUAUUUUUCAACCAACAAGAAAUUGUGUACACAAAGAUGGUUCAAUCCAUGAAAAUUGAGAUUCAAGUUUAUCUUUCUAAAUAGCAACUAAAAUACCUCUUUGUAAUUGCAAUAUACAAUUUAGUUUUACAAAAAACAUCCAAAAGAGUUUCAAGUCAUGCGGAUGAACAUUUUAUGCAAAUAUAUUGCAUGGGCUUGAUCCUUUUUACUUCAUCACUAGUCAUUCCCUCGCAUUCAGCAUGGAAACUUUAUGAGCAAUUCAUAUGAUGUAAUAAGUAAAGAUGGAAUUGAACAAUAACAACUUGAAAGAAAAGAAUUUGAAGACUUUACCACUCCUUGCAUGCCUCACAGCACACCAUGAGAUUAUCUGGGUUAUACGGUAUCUGACAAGUGCAAUACCUUAAAAAAUAAUUAAACAAAUAAACAGCACAUCAAAUUUCAUCUAUAAACACCACAUAUCAACUAAAACGUAAGAUAAAAGAGACUCACAGAGGAAUAAGAAAAUUGUCGAACCCUUUCCUAGAAUGCAAGACCUAAAUCUCUAAUAGUAAUCCUCAUAUGUUACCAUUUGGAGUUUUACGUACUCAUCAAGAGUGUGGACAUUACACUUUCCGAGAAUGGUAUCAAUGCUCAUAGUAUCACGAUGAUUAAACCAUAUGAGCUCAUCCUUUCCAAAGAAAGGAGGACGCUUUUCAAGGGCAUCAUCUGACCUAUAGAACCACCUCACCAUCACUUUCUUUUUAUUGUGACUAAAACGCAGGAUGGCCGCCACCCAUGGCUGAUCGUUCACUAUUGCACCAUCAUGAUUAAUCAUGACUUAAUCCCCAACGGAGAAAGUCUCAUUGGUAGUUGUAAUGCAACAAGUGGCCAUCCCUUCCAAAUAACUGGCAAUCAUAUAAAAGAGAUCCAACAAGAAGUGAUCAGCUUAACCCCAGUGUCCCUCCCAACUCUAAUGUCAAUCACAUAAAAGAGAUCCGUCUACUAUAUGACCUCAACUAUAACAAAAGAGCUCAAUCUUAUAACAAAAGAAUAAACAAAACAUAAAUCUUAUAACAAAAGAUUAAAAAAACAUAGCUAUUAGUGCUUUUAGUGAGGGUGAAAUAAUCUGGACAAUAGAAUUCAAACUACACCAUUACAUAAUUGAUCUACAUUCUAAUCACUAGCAGCAAAUGAAACCUUAAUUUUAAUUCAAAAUUGAAACCCUAAUAGCUCAAAAUUUCGAACUAUUACAUAAUUGAUAACUAGUUUUAAAUCAAAAUCACUAGCAGUAAACGAAACCCAAAUCGAAAUCAAGGUGAAAUUUCUUACCACGUGCAGUGCAAUCGUUGGAGGUGAAAGACAUAUAGAAUUCGAGAGGAGAAAGAGACUCAGAAACGAGUCGAGAGAGAGCCGGUGUGUGGUGAUUCUGAAUUUGAAUUAUAUUAGCCGUUGAAUUUAAAUUUGGACCGCCAAAUUUUUUACUGUUGGAUUUAAUCAUCUUAGCUGUUGAAUUUAAACACUUUAUAAAAGAAUAUGAAACGUAUUGAAAAAAAUUCUUUUAAUUAUUUCACUCGUUGAACUCCCGAGUCUCAACUCCAUCCCUUAAGACUCUCUGGAUUCCAAGUCUCCUACUACCAGGCACCACCACCAUCUCCUCUCAAGUCUCAACUCCCACAUCUCUUCUAUCUCCCGACUCCAACCACCACCAUCAUCUCCUCUCAACUGAAGUCGAUAGCUCGAUCCCUCCCACCACUGAGUAAGGUACUCAGUUUUAAUUUUUAGGGAUUUAAGAUUUAGUGUUUUCUAGAUUUUGGGGUCUUGAUCUAAUAAUUUCUAGUUGUCUGAUAACGGAAUCAACUGCUUAGUCUUAUAAUUUUGAAGCUUUGCUUUGAUAUUUUGAUUAAAUUGAAAUUUGAAUUAUGAGAAUAUUAGAAACUUACAUAUCUAUGUAAUGAAGAAAAAGAAAAUUAGAAACUUACAUGAAUUGAUCAAAAUAAUUACACCAACAAAAUAUCCAUUCAGUCAAAAUUUUGCACCAUUACAGAAUUGAUCUAAAUUCUAAUAACUAGCAGCAAACAAAACUUUAAUUUUAACUCAAAAUCGAAACCAUAAUAAAAUAGGAAAGUUAGCUAAAAAUUUCGCACCAUUACAAAAUUGAUUACAUUUUUUAUUCAGAAUAGAUUACAUUUUUUUUUUCCUUUUCAAAACAGGUUAUUUUCACAUAUCCUUUGUAAUCCAAACACAACACUAGCUCAAUUCAAUUUCAGAUCAAAACGACCCUGACUGUACUAUUAUUAUCAAAAUCCACAACCAUAUCAAUCACAAAAUGGAAGCUUGAAUGAGAUAAAAAAAUAUUUAAAAACUUAUCACUUUUAUCUUAUUGAAUAUGGCUUCCAGGGAGAAAAAAGGGAAAAAUUGAUGGCGAAAUCUCUUUUCUACAUGAACAACAAAAACCCAGCACAAUGACACCAAAUACAAUCUAAUCCAAUUCAAUCAAACCAAUCUCAAUUCUCAUAUUCGACUUUAAUCUCAAUUCAAUCUCAUAAUUCCAAAUACAAUCUGCUUUGCUCAAUUCAGUUUCAAAACAAACGACCCGGACUGUACUAUUAUUAUCAAAAUCCACAAGCAUAUCAAUAAGAAAUGGAAGCUUGAAUGAGAGAAAAAAAAUAUGUAAAAACUGACCACCUUUAUCUUAUUGAAUAUGGCUUACAAGGAAAAAAGGGAAAAACUGAUGGCGAAAUCUUUUAUCAACAUGAACAACAAAAACCCAGCACAAUGACACCAAAUACAAUCUAAUCUCAAUUCAAUCAAACCAAACUCAAUUCUCAUAUUCCAAUCUAAUCUCAUUUUAAUCUCAUAAUUCCAAACACAAUAUGCUUAUAAGAAUGACCCCAACACUUGCCCACCGAUCACCAACACCCCAAAUCUAAAUAUUCUCAUAAUUCUAAUUCCAAUUCAAUCAAAUACCAAAGCAAAGCUUCAAAAUUAUAAGACUAAGCAGUCGAUUCCAUCAUCAGACAACUAGGAAUUAUUAGGUCAAGACCCCAAAAUCCCAAAAUCUAGAAAACACUAAAUCUUAAAUCCUUCGCCCAUGAGCGGUAGGUCUUGGGUUCGAGACUUGGGAGCAGCCUCUCCAUAAAUGGGGGUAAGGCUAGCCGACAUUCACCUCUCCCAGACCCUGCGUAAAGCGGGAGCUUAUGCACUGGGUACGACCUUACUUAGUGGUGGGAGGGAUCGAGCUAUCGACUUCAGUUGAGAGGAGAUGAUGGUUGGUGGUGGUCAGAGUCAGGAGAGAGAAGAGAUGUGGGGAGUUGAGACUUGAGAGGAGAUGGUGGUGGUGCCUGGUAGUCGAAGACUCGGAAUCCAGAGAGUAUGGGGGAUGGAGUUAAGACUCGGAGUCCAACGGGUAAAAUAAUUAAAAGAAAUUAUUUCAAUGUGUUUCAUAUUCUUUUAUAUAGUGUUCAAAUUUAAAUUCAACGACUAAGAUGAUUAAAUCCAACAGUUAAAAACAAAAUUGACGGUCCAAAUUUAAAUUCAACGGCUAAUAUAAUUCAAAUUCAGAAUCACCGGCUCUCUCUUUCUCUCUCGACUCCUUUCUGACUGUCAAGUCUCUGUCUCCUCUCGAAUUCUGUCUUUCACCUCCAACGGCUGCACUGCACAUGGUAAGAUAUUUCACCUUGAUUUUAAUUUGGGUUUCGUUUGCUGCUCGUGUUUCUGAUUUUGAUUUAAAAUUAGUUAUCAAUUCUAUAAUAGUUCAAAAUUUUGAGCUAUUAGGGUUUCGAUUUUGAAUUAAAAUUAAGGUUUCGUUUGCUGCUAGUGAUUAGAAUGUAGAUCAAUUCUGUAAUGGUGUAGUUUGAAGUCUAUUGCCCAGAUUAGCUCACCCUCACUAAAAGCACUAAUAGCUAUGUUUUUUUAAUCUUUUGUUAUAAGAUUUAUAUUUUUUUUUAUUCUUUUGUUUUAAGAUUGGGCUUUUUUGUUAUAGUUGAGGUCAUAUAGUUGACGGAUCUAUUUUAUGUGAUUGACAAUAGAAUUGGGAGGGACACUUGGGUUAAGUUGAUCACUGCUUGUUGGAUCUCUUUUAUAUGAUUGCAUGUUAUUUGGAGAGGAUGACCACUUGUUGCAUUACAACUACCAAUGAGACUUUCUCCAUUGGGGAUUGUGUCCUGAUUAAUCAUGAUAGUGCAAUAGUGAACGAUCAGCCAUGGAUGACGGUCAUCCCGUGUUUCAGUCAUAAUAAAAAGAAAGCGAUGGUGAGAUGGUUCUAUAGGUCAGAGGAUGCCCUUGAAAAGCAUCCUCCUUUCUUUGGAAAUGAUGAGCUCAUAUGGUCUAAUCAUCGUGAUCAUGUGAGCAUUGAUAACAUUCUCGGAAAGUGUAAUGUCCACACUCUUGAUGAGUACGUAAAACUCCAAACGGUAACAUAUGAGGAUUACUAUUGGAGAUUUAGGUACUUGCCUUCCAGGAAAGGGUUCGACAAUUUUCUUAUUCCUCUAUGAGUCUCUUUUAUCUUACGUUUUAGUUGAUAUGUGGUGUUUAUGGAUGAAAUUUGAUGUGCUGUUUAUUUGUUUAAUUAUUUUUUAAGGUAUUGCACUUGUCAGAUGCCGUAUAACCCAGAUAAUCUCAUGGUGUGGUGUGAGGCAUGCAAGGAGUGGUAAAGUCUUCAAAUUCUUUUCUUUCAAGUUGUUAUUGAUCAAUUCCGUCUACUUAUUACAUCAUAUGAAUUGCUCAUAAAGUUAUUUUCCUCUUUGACUUAAAGGUAACAUGCUGAGUGCGAGGGAAUGACUAGUUAUGAAGUAGAAAGGAUCAAGCCCUAGCAAUAUAUUUGCAUAAAAUGUUCAUCUGCAUGACUUGGAACUCUUUUAGAUUUUUUUUUAAAACUAAAUUGUAUUUGCAAUUACAAAGAGGUAUUUUAGUUGCUAUUUACUUUUGGAUGUGUAGAACUAAAGAAAGAUAAACUUGAAUCUCAAUUUUCAUGGAUUGAACCAUUUUUGUGUAUACAAUUUCUUGUUGGUUGAAAAAUAAACGUCAACCGAAAUGAUCAUGAUGAUGCAUGUGGAUCAAGAUGCUUCUCCCAAGCAAAAUAAGCAAUGAAUAGAAUGCUUAAACCUUGUGCUAAGCCAUGAAAAAUUGUGUGCUCAAAAGUAAUCCCAGUGGCCUGAAAUAGCCUACAAUUGGGAAAUUGAGCUUGUAAUAACAAGCAAAUAAUAUUAUGACCAUCUUGUAGAUAUAUCUAGGUUAGAUAGUCCACAAUUAGAUGUUGAUUAAGCUCACAAGUACAUUUUCAAAUUCUCAAGAAGAAAAUGGGGAUCUGAGGUCCAGACCUAAAUCAUAAUCAUUCAUUGAGAAGAACUCUGGAUAUGCAAGAUCCAAAAAAAUCUCUUCGAAAUCUUGUUUAUUACCCCUACAAUCUACACGACAUCAUUGAAUUGGGUCCGAGUACAACUUGUACCCAACUUAUGAUUUUGUUUUUCCAUUUGUUGAUUCCAUUAUUAAACAUGCACUUCGAUCUAGUGAGUAUCAUGAUCGCAAUGCUCAUAUUUGUGCUAUUUUGAUUACCUUAUCUCGCUAUCACUUGAUUCAUUAGUUCUAAAGGAAGUUCUAAUCACUACGAAAACAGCUUAAUAACAGUUGAUUAUCCCUAAAACAAAGAGGGCAAACAUAGAAAUAGUGUUUGUACUCAAAAUCCCAAUUGUGUAACACAUGGUUGUAAUCUACCCUGAUCUCAAAAUUUAAAAUUCGACACAAAAAUGAAAUUUGGAAUGAUUAGCAGGGAAAUAAGAGAGAAGCGUGAGCGAAUAUACCCAUGAGGCCUUCGGAUCCGAGUUCGGAGCUUGAAGGGCAGAGGUUGCAAACCCAGAGCAUGGAAGAAGCGGGAAGGAUUUUCCUCUGUGCUGCCUCGUGUCUUCUACUAUUUAUCCAAGCAUUGACUGUUCAAAUAUUGGGUAGUGGGUAAUCUUAAAACUGAUAUAAUCAUAUAGAAAUAACUUUGUUCAAUCUUUCAGGAUCUUAACAACAUGUCUUUCAACAAUAUUUGUGAUGUUGAUUUUGAAUCAUGUCUCUAUUUUAGAUUGAGAGAGAGAGCAUGAUUUAAGCGGGAACUAUCUCAGAUUCUCAGGCAAUUUUCCUAUCUAGCAAAUGGUUAAGACAGAAAAAUGAACCUUCGAUAUAGAAAACAUCGUAAGCUUACAAAAGCCACCAAAUCAAAGUUAUGCUUUUUUAUGUGCUUGUUUGCAACAUGGCAUAUUUAUUGCUUUCCAGGGUAUAAAUGGCUAUCAUGCAAAAUGAAAAAGAAGUUAAAGACUUCCAACAAUGGAGAGCAUACCACCAUCAUAUGUGAUCCAGGGCAACACCAUAAAAGCAUGCUAGAAUUAGAGAGAUGAGACUGGUGGCUAGUGGCAUAUUUUAAUUAGCAAAACCUCCAAGAUAAGUCGACCUCUCUGAUCAUAUGGGAAUUUGCAAAGAAAUGGAUUUCCCGUAGAUAUCUUUUGCAUCAUCAUAGUCAUUAUAAAAAAGGUAAACAUGAUGACAUGUUUCAGGACAGCAUACAUAACACAUGCAUAAACACCCCAAUUGCAAACUCUACAAUGAAAGGGACCAAAAUAAAAUAAAAACUUCCGUUAAACUAAAACAAUUACAAAAUCCAAAAUUCAAUUCUUUUUUUUUUUUUGCAAACUCUUCAAUGAAAUGGACCAAAAUAAAAUAAAAACUUUAGUUAAACUAAAACAAUUACAAAAUGCAAAAUUCAAUUCUUUCUUUUUUCUUGUGUCAAAAUUAAAUUAUUGUAACCUUCAUAAAUGCAUCAAUUUAUGGAUCCGGCCUUAUAUUCCUUUCCCUCUCUAACCGUACCAAAUCAUUCAUGUAUGCUACAGCAUAAAACAAUUGACAAAAACAGGGGAAGGAUAUCAACAGUGCUCGAUUGAGUACAUGAAAUAAUUGCUGGAAUUAAGAAUAUAUACGCAUUGAAAGUAACGAAAUUGCAAUUAACAAGAACACACCUACAUAGGCUUCACUUGCAUCUUGACAUCUAGCUGUAAAAUCCAAUGUUUCUCUUACGGUCAGCUCUGGAAAAUGAUUAUCUGUUCGGUGGAUUUAUGCCCCAAAAUUCAAACACCAGAGUUUCCUAAAAGCAAAAAAGACUGAAAUCAGACAAUCACACGUAGCAUCCGAGCACACAUACAAAACCCUCCAAAAUUACAACAUAAAAGCAAUUGUAGGCUCAUUGGAAAAGUGUAUAUAUAUAUAUAUAUAUAUAUAUAUAUAUAUUUUUUUUUUUUUUGUGGAAAUGCUAAUAGAUUCAUUUUCCAAUCCUCAAAUCUAUUUCCCCACAAAACCAAAAAAAAAAAAAAAUGUUAGUUUGCACCCCUCCGAAGCAAAGGGAAUGAAAGAAAGGAAGAGCAAAAUAAAAGACAAGGGGGAGUCUAAACUUGGACACCAAGCAUAAUAAGUACAACUACUGCUAAAACCAUUUGUCAGAUGAUAUGAAAUAUGAAUCAUGAACAUACACGCAAUAAAGUUUCCCUUAUGGAAUCCUCAAAUAAUCUGGUACAGACUGGAUCACCUAGAGAUUAAGAAAUAAUAGUCCUACUAGUAUAGAAGCAUGCAAAAGAAGCUCUAGGAAUUAGAAAAACAUCGUCCUCCAUACCUGAUGAAAUAUCUCAGGCUGCGAGGUGUAACCAUUUGCAGUUCAUUUAUCUGCAUCCCACACCAUGCAGCUUCACUAAUGACCAACGAAUUCAUACUGCAGUGCAUAGAGAAAAAUGCAACUGCACAUAAACUCUUAACUACAUUGAAAGUCAUGAUACCAAAGCAAUGAUGAAACUUCUUCACAUGAUAUCAUUUUGAACCAUACCAAAGCAUGUCAAUUCUAUGUGAUUUUGUUAAGAGUAAAUGUUCAUUUUCUAUGUUGUAUAUAUCCAUGUACCAACUUCAGAUCUACUAACUUUGAGAGAAAGAGAAACAAUUACAACAUUUUUCUAUGCAUGACGAUAAUAAAUAUGACUCAUAAAUAAUUUUGACCUUAAACAAAAGAAAAUGCUUAGGAAAAUUAAAUUUAACAGAGGUCCAUACCUGUAGCAGGGAAAAGAAUGGAUGUAUCCCUUCUUUUUUUCUUUUUUGGUCUGAAUGUAUCCCUUCCCUUUAAAGGUUGCACUGCCCAAGAAGUAAACUCGUCAUAAAUUAAUCAAAAAAAUGAAAGUAAAUUAUGCAUCACGAUGUAGUCAAUUUGGAUUUUAGAGGAUUUUAAUGGAUUUUUUUAAGUGACAAAUUUAAAAAGAUUUUAAUAGAUUUACAAUUCUAUGUAGAUUUUGGCAGAUUUAUAUGGAUUUCUAUUAUAGAUAUUUAUGGAUUUGAAUGGAUUUCUUAGGAUUUUAGUUGACUCCUACAACAUAAAAUAAAUAUUUUUUUUAGUACACAAUCUGAAAAGAACAUAAAUUGAAAGGAACAUAAACAUAUAUCUAUUGAUAUAGAAAUACAAACCAAUCAAAUAUGUAAAUAGAAUGGGGUAUUGAGAAUAUUGAUCCAAGAGUUUGAAUAAUUGUUAAGGAUAGCAUCUGCUUUAGAACAUCAUAGCCAUUCAAGAAUGAUGAUUUCAAGUUCAAGAACAGGAUAUCCAAUCAUGAAUAAUAAUAAUAUAUGUGAAAGAAUACCAAAUGAAAAUCGAAAUUGAGUAGGACAUAUUUGGGCAGCAAAAUCCUGGGAUAAAAAACAUUUUAACCAUGACCAAAAAAAAAAAACAUUUGAAGCCAAAAACAUGGACACUAAUUUGCAGAAAAAAGGCUUAAAUCAAAUGGGAAAAGCCAAACUUAGAAAAAUCAAAAGUGCAGAUGAGAGAAUCUCAAUUCAGAAAAGCACGAGUAUAAAGCAAAACAAUAUACAACUAUAAUCCAACAACAACAACAACAACAACAACAACAAAGCCUUUUCCCACUAAGUGGGGUCGGCUAUGAAUCCUAGAACGCCAUUGCGCUCGGUUUUGUGUCAUGUCCUCCGUUAGAUCCAAGUACUCUAAGUCUUUUCUUAGAGUCUCUUCCAAAGUUUUCCUAGGUCUUCCUCUACCCCUUCGGCCCUGAACCUCUGUCCCGUAGUCACAUCUUCGAACCGGAGCGUCAUUCGGCCUUCUUUGCACAUGUCCAAAUCACCGGAGCCGAUUUUCUCUCAUCUUUCCUACAAUUUCGGCUACUCCUACUUUACCUCGGAUAUCCUCAUUCCCAAUCUUAUCCUUUCUCGUGUGCCCACACAUCCCACGAAGCAUCCUCAUCUCCGCUACACCCAUUUUGUGUACGUGUUGAUGCUUCACCGCCCAACAUUCUGUGCCAUACAAACAUCGCUGGCCUUAUUGCCGUCCUAUAAAAUUUUCCCUUGAGCUUCAGUGGCCUACGACGGUCACACGACACGCCGGAUGCAUUCUUACACUUCAUCCAUCCAGCUCGUAUUCUAUGGUUGAGAUCUCCAUCUAAUUCUCCGUUCUCUUGCAAGAUAGAUCCUAGGUAGCGAAAACGGUCGCUUUUUGUGAUCUUCGCUAGAUUGCUCCGGUCAUUAGUGUGGAUAAGUAUAUAAAUGGAUAGAGAUAGGAAAGCAAACACAAGAUGUACGUGGUUCACCCAUAUUGGCUACGUCCACGGAAUAGAAGAGUUCUCAUUAAUUGUGAAGGGUUUACACAAGUACAUAGGUUCAAGCUCUCCUUUAGUGAGUACAAGUGAAUGAUUUAGUACAAAUGACAUUAGGAAAUAUUGUGGGAGAAUGAUCUCGUAAUCACGAAACUUUUAAGUAUCGGAGUGUGGUGUCGUCUUGACUUGCCUUAUCUGUCUCAUAGGUAGAUGUGGCAUCUUCUCUGGAAGUACUCUUCCUCCAUCCAGGGGUGGUAUCUUUAACUGGUGGAGAUGCACAAGGUAAUGUAUCAAUUUCACUUGAAGCUUACUUGUAGUUUCAGGCUUGGUCAAGCGCGAUACAAACCAUGUAGUAGGAGUCCCCCAAGUCGCCGAGCUAGGGGGUCUGCUGAAAGAGGUGACAGACAAGGUAAGCAAUCAGAGCUCCGACUGAUUGUUCACCUUCUCCCCAUCUUGCAGCAGCAUGAAGGAUAAAGAGAAGAAAAAUGAGAAGAGAUGAUAUGAGAUACUUUUGCUUUUGAAGAAGUAACUUUCCACAAGCUUAUUCUUGAACUGAGCUGGAGGGUUUUCUGGUUUCCUCCAGAGUAUAAGGCCGACUGAAGAAUUUGAGGGUCAAAACAAGUCCAUCAAAUCUAGAGUACGUUCCACCCUGCUGAUAUGGGAUACUUUUGCUUUUGACAGAGUAAUGGAUGUAUCGGCACGUGUGCUGUUACGCUUGUCUCCACAUGCUUCCUUGUAUCCUUCGCACUUGCCCUAUCUGUUCCUCAAGCAGAUGCGGAAUCUUCCCUGGAAACAUAAGAUGUUGAAGAUGAGUACUCGAGAGCAAUGCCAGGUAAGUAAUCAGGUAAGGGGUUCCAGGCAGUCAGUUCCUGGCUGGAAGCUUGAUUCCAAGUGCUGACUGAUUGCUCUCUUUCUCCUUGUCUUGCAGGUAAAAACAAGGCCAAAGGAAAAGACAGGGAAAAAGCAUGAUAUGGGAUACUCUUGCUUUUAACCCUGAUGAUAUGAGAUAUUCUUGCUCUAGUAUAGCUUGUUUACAGAGGUAUUAUCGGGGGGAAAGAAAGCUGAAUAUUUCGAAAGGCUUCGUUGGGAGUGCCCUCUCAGAUAUGAUGAAGGGUUGAGCAUUUUUGCAGGUCUGCCUGUCCGUUGGGGAUGGAGGUCGACAUAUAUAGGAGUCUCCCUAACAAGUAGUAAUGCUAUUCCUUUACCCUGCUUGGUCAUAGCACGGUAGUAGGGAGCUGCCAGUUUCACAUGUUUUAACUCUGUCAGAGCACUUUGAAAAAGUGGUCUGUGGUAUUUGGCUCUCGAGAUUCGGAGAACGAUGCCUCUUCGAUUUUUGAGAAAGCAAUCAUGCUGGGGGUCUGGCUCUCGAGAUUCGGAGAGCAGUGUCUCUUCAAUUUUUGAGGAAGUAAUCAUGUUGGGAGUCUGGCUCUCGAGAUUCGGAGGGCGGUGCCUCUUCGAUUUUGGAGCAAGCAAUUUUUGUUGGGAGUGUUUGUCUCGAAUGUGAGUAAAGGUUGGGCAUGUUUGCUAGUCUACCUUGCCACGAAGCACAAAGGUUGACACACAGGGACUUUCCAAUUAUCCAGCAAUGGUACUGUUCCUUUACCCUCUCUCUUCGAUUUUGAGAAAGUAGUCAUGUUGGGAGUCUGGCUCUCGAGAUUCGGAGGACGGUGCCUCUUCGAUUUUGGAGCAAGCAAUCUUGUUGGGAGUGUUUUCUCGAAUGUGAGUAAAGGUUGGGCAUGUUUGCUAGUCUACCUUGCCACGAAGCACAGAGGUUGACACACAGGGACUUUCCAAUUAUCCAGCAGUGGUACUGUUCCUUUACCCUUGUGGGUAAUAAUAUGGUAGCUAGACCUUCAAAAUUUAUGUGUCUAAACUUUGUUAGUGCUGUUUCUUUGCUAUUCUUUUACCUUUCUUGGUCAGAGCGAUGUAGUGGGAGCUGCAAGCUUCACGUGCUCAACUUUGGCAAAGUUAUCUGUGGUACCCAUGAGCUAUUGUUGCGUGUGGGAAGUGGGUGAUUGAACAGUAAGAUUCAUGUGCUUUCUACUUCACCAGAAGUCUUCGACAGAAUGCCCAUAAUUUCUGCAAAGCUGAGUGUGCGUGUGACAGGUGCUGACAAGGCUAGAAAAGUAGGUGUCUCUUCGAUUUCUGAGAUCGGCCCUCGUGGUCUCUGAGCAGCCCAGCUUUUGAGAAAGCGAGCGCCUCUUCGAUUGAUUCGGAGAACGAUGCCUCAUCGAUUUUUGAGAAAGCAAUCAUGAUGGGGGUCUGGCUCUCGAAGAUUCGGGGAGCAGUGUCUCUUCGAUUUUUGAGAAAGUAAUCAUGUUGGGAGUCUGGCUCUCGAGAUUCGGAGGGCGGUGCCUCUUCGAUUUUGGAGCAAGCAAUCUUGUUGGGAGUGUUUUCUCGAAUGUGAGUAAAGGUUGGGCAUGUUUGCUAGUCUACCUUGCCACGAAGCACAGAGGUUGACACACAGGGACUUUCCAAUUAUCCAGCAAUGGUAUUGUUCCUUUACCCUCUUCGAUUUUUAAAAAAGUAGUCAUGUUGGGAGUCUGGCUCUCGAGAUUCGGAGGACGGUGCCUUUUCGAUUUUGGAGCAAGCAAUCUUAUUGGGAGUGUUUUCUCGAAUGUGAGUAAAGGUUGGACAUGUUUGCUAGUCUACCUUGCCACGAAGCACAGAGGUUGGCACACAGAGACUUUCCAAUUAUCCAGCAGUGGUACUGUUCCUUUACCCUUGUGGGUAAUAAUAUGGUAGCUAGACCUUCAAAAUUUAUGGGUCUAAACUUUGUUAGUGCUGUUUCUUUGCUAUUCUUUUACCCUUCUUGGUCAUAGCGAUGUAGUGGGAGCUGCAAGCUUCACGUGCUCAACUUUGGCAGAGAACUUUGGCAAAGUUUUCUGUGGUACCCAUGAGCUAUUGUUGCGUGUGGAAAGUGGGUGAUUGAACAGUAAGAUUCAUGUGUUUUCUACUUCCCCAGAAGUCUUCGACAUAAUGCCCAUAAUUUCCGCAAAGCUGAGUGUGCGUGUGACAGGUGCUGACAAGGCUGGAAAAGUAGGUGCCUCUUCGAUUUCUGAGAUCGGCCCUCGUGGUCUCUGGGGAGCCCAGCUUUUGAGAAAGAGAGCGCCUCUUCGAUUUCUGAGAUCAGCCUUCGUGGUCUUUGAGCAGCCCAACUUUUGAGAAAGCAAACGCCUCUUCGAUUUCUGAGAUCAACCCUCGUGAUCUCUAAGCAGCCCAGCUUUUGAGAAAGCAAACGCCUCUUCGAUUUCUGAAGCUCCGUCGAGUGCAGAUUUUUAUAGGGGCUGGCAUUAAGUUCCAAAGCACACUUGAAUCUCCACCAGUAGAAGCUUCAUUCUUGCACUUCUAAGAUCUUGAUUUGUCCGACCUCUUCUCUCUUCAACACCUUUGAAAAUGUCUGGCCCCUCCGACCGUCGUUUUGACUUGAACCUUGUUGAAGAGGCAGCCCCGCCUUCUCCAGACAACAUAUGGCGCCCAUCCUUCGUCUCCCCUACUGGUCCUCUUACCGUUGGGGAUUCCGUGAUGAAGAAUGAUAUGACCGUUGCGGUGGUGGCCAGGAACCUUCUCACUCCCAAAGAUAACAGACUACUUUCCAAACGGUCUGAUGAGUUAGCUGUUAAGGAUUCGCUGGCUCUCAGUGUUCAGUGUGCAGGUUCUGUGUCUAAUAUGGCCCAACGCCUAUUUGCUCGAACCCGCCAAGUUGAAUCAUUGGCGGCUGAAGUGAUGAGUCUCAAACAGGAGAUUAGAGGGCUCAAGCAUGAGAAUAAACAGUUGCACCGGCUCGCACAUGACUAUGCUACAAACAUGAAGAGGAAGCUUGACCAGAUGAAGGAAACUGAUGGUCAGGUUUUACUUGAUCAUCAAAGAUUUGUGGGUUUGUUCCAAAGGCAUUUAUUGCCUUCGUCUUCUGGGGCUGUACCGCGUAAUGAAGCUCCAAAUGAUCAACCUUUGAUGCCUCCUCCUUCUAGGGUUCUGUCCAGUACUGAGGCUCCAAAUGAUCCCCCUCCGGUGCCUUCUCUUUCUGGGGCUCUACCGACUGCUGAGACUUCUCCUAAGCAACCUUUGUGAAGGCUCCCUCUUGUGUGUUUUAUUUGACUCAUGUAUAUGCACAUAUUUGUAGCUUAUCGGGGAUAUCAAUAAAUAAGCUUUCCUUCAUUUCAACGUAUUGUGUUAAAUACACCAAAGCCUUCUUCGCUAAGUUCUUUGAAUUUUCUUUUGUUGAAGCUUGUAUGUUGAAGCUUUCUGAGUGGAGCAUGAAGGUUGGGGUAGUGUUCCCUUAAUUUUCCGAGUGAGGAAAACUUCUCGGUUGGAGACUUGGAAAAUCCAAGUCACUGAGUGGGAUCGGCUAUAUGAAUCUUAGAACGCCAUUGUGCUCAAUCCUGUGUCAUGUCCUUCGUUAGAUCCAAGUACUCUAAGUCUUUUCUUAGAGUCUCUUCCAAAGUUUUCCUAGGUCUUCCUCUACCCCUUCGGCCCUGAACCUCUGUCCCAUAGUCG
rnacentral:lncRNA from 1 species